rnacentral:lncRNA from 1 species
UCCCCUGGGUGGGCGGGCUCCGGACACAGCCUGAGAACUUUCUCCCCCUCAGUCACAGGCCUCUGAAGGGGCUGGGCUGGACUGCACGUCGCAGUGGUUUAGGCAAGAUGGUUUAAUUCUCUCGUGGCAGCCGGGGCUGGCAAUGGCUCUGGCUACACAGGCUGCCUCUGGCGCUCAGCUCCAGAUGCCUAGGGCUGGCCUCGCGACCCCGUAUGGCUGCUGGAGCUCGGCCAUUGCUUCUGUGUUCCAGCAGAGCAGAAGGGACCUAUCAGAGAUCCCCACCCACCUCUCAGGAUCUGCAGCUCAGUCACAGGGCCUCACUUCGCGGCGAGGGAGGCUGGGGAAGGGGGAGGCUAGGACCUCCACCCUGGAGAAGGCAGGUGGCCCUUCCUGGCCCACCUGUAAAGGUCUCAGCGUCUGGGGGGGUUCCAUGAAGAGAAACGGAGGAGAACACACCUGCGGGGAAAGAGCCAGCAGGUGAUCAGCUGGACGUGCCUCGUGAGCCAGCCGGCUGACUGAGCCCCAGCAGGUGUGCUGAACUUUCAGCCCCAAACCUGUGGACGCAACCUUGUUUGGAAACAGGGUCUUUGCAGGAAGGGUCCAGGC